rnacentral:rRNA from 1 species
GCGCUGCAUUAGCUAGUUGGUAAGGUAACGGCUUACCAAGGCAACGAUGCAUAGCCGACCUGAGAGGGUGAUCGGCCACACUGGAACUGAGACACGGUCCAGACUCCUACGGGAGGCAGCAGUAGGGAAUCUUCCGCAAUGGGCGAAAGCCUGACGGAGCAACGCCGCGUGAGUGAUGAAGGUCUUCGGAUCGUAAAACUCUGUUAUUAGGGAAGAACAUAUGUGUAAGUAACUGUGCACAUCUUGACGGUACCUAAUCAGAAAGCCACGGCUAACUACGUGCCAGCAGCCGCGGUAAUACGUAGGUGGCAAGCGUUAUCCGGAAUUAUUGGGCGUAAAGCGCGCGUAGGCGGUUUUUUAAGUCUGAUGUGAAAGCCCACGGCUCAACCGUGGAGGGUCAUUGGAAACUGGAAAACUUGAGUGCAGAAGAGGAAAGUGGAAUUCCAUGUGUAGCGGUGAAAUGCGCAGAGAUAUGGAGGAACACCAGUGGCGAAGGCGACUUUCUGGUCUGUAACUGACGCUGAUGUGCGAAAGCGUGGGGAUCAAACAGGAUUAGAUACCCUGGUAGUCCACGCCGUAAACGAUGAGUGCUAAGUGUUAGGGGGUUUCCGCCCCUUAGUGCUGCAGCUAACGCAUUAAGCACUCCGCCUGGGGAGUACGACCGCAAGGUUGAAACUCAAAGGAAUUGACGGGGACCCGCACAAGCGGUGGAGCAUGUGGUUUAA